rnacentral:rRNA from 1 species
CCUACGGGUGGCAGCAGUGAGGAAUAUUGGUCAAUGGGCGGAAGCCUGAACCAGCCAAGUCGCGUGAGGGAUUAAGGCCCUGCGGGUCGUAAACCUCUUUUGCCGGGGAGCAGUGGUCCGGACGCGUCCGGACCGGGAGAGUACCCGGAGAAAAAGCAUCGGCUAACUCCGGGCCAGCAGCCGCGGUAAUACGGGGGAUGCGAGGGUUAUCCGGAUUUAUUGGGUUUAAGGGGUGCGUGGGCGGGCAUUUAAGCCGGCGGGAAAAUGUCGGGGCUAAACCCCGGCCUGCCGUUGGAACUGGGUGGCUUGAGUGGGCGAGAAGUAUGCGGAAUGCGUGGUGUAGCGGUGAAAUGCAUAGAUAUCACGAAGAACCCCGAUUGCGAAGGCAGCAUACCGGCGCCCUACUGACGCUGAGGCACGAAAGUGCGGGUAUCGAACAGGAUUAGAUACCCUGGUAGUC